UGAACGAGAGAAGCAUGUGAUAACAUGCUAGGCCAGGGCUUCGUAAUUUUUUUGUUUUUCGGCGAAGUGUGAUCUGUAUCAACCAGGAAGAACGACAAGGAUUGCUGGGUCAAAAAGCUGAUGGCAUGUACGCAGUACUGUGCAUGUACCCGCACAUGCCGAAAAGCUGUGGCCAAAACUUUUCUUGAUGUUUUGCGGGUUGGGUCAAUUAUGGGCCAGACCACAUUCUCCUAUCAUGGUGAAAAUAUCCUUAUUCGCCUUCUCAAAGGUAGGGUUCUACAUUAGACGGUAAAUUUAAGCUAACAUCUGCAUUUGAAACUUGGAUAACUCGCUCGCUACUAACAUCUGGGAGUGAUAAUAGAAUUGUAAAAAUUCAGACAUCCAAAAGAGCCGUCUGACGCGGGUUGUCUUUUUCUUUUUCGUAUUCUUUCCCCUUUCCUAUCCAUUUUCCCUACCUUCCCAGAGGACCUACAACUGCACUUACCAUCACAGCUGCUUCUCGUUCCCAGUUACCCACCACAAUAGGACCCGUAGACCCUCCAAGUCUAGUGACGCUGUUAUUUGGUAGAUGCGAGCCCCGCAGAACGCACUCCCUCAAUUGCUCACGGAGCCGCUCCCGGUUCGAUCUCAGGGUUCUUGCGGAGACGCCCCCGCGGUUGAUAAUCUCUUGAACCCGUGUUGAGAGGGACGAGGCUAGUGAGCGCCAGAAGUAGGAAGGGAGAGAGGAUGUGUCGAGGCAUUGAAGUAAUGGUUGGAGAAGGUUGUCUUUGACUUUGAUGGAUGGGUUUGAUGUAAGUCUAGUUGUGGUUUCCGAGUGGAUGGAAAGUGAGGGGUAAUUGUAGUUAAGAAAAGGGUGAGCGGGAGGUUUGAUGGUUUCGAGGAGAGCUUCAAAAGCCAUAAUGUUUUGGCACUUAGCAGAUGUUUCUUGAAGCGUCCGGUCGAGAGUUGGGAGCAUCGACAACGAGCGCGACAACGAAGCUAGCGAUGAAGUUAGACAUGUAUGGAUAUAGCCCUUCAGCGUUACAAGGAGCAAUUCUGGCUGGAAUUCAGACGACAGAAUCGAUGUAUGGGGGGUUGGGGAUAAUAGAUAUAAUGCAGUAAUUGCGGAGGUAAUGCGGGACUUUGCAUCUUCGGCUUGCGCGAACGUCGACGCCCCAGGAGCUUGGAGUUGAGUUCCCGAACCUCCGACAGCAGACCCUACCCCGCCCGUGUCCAUCGCUAAUGAGGACAGCGAGAAUUUAUUGAUAAUUUGUGUUGCUCUGGCUUUGACCGCGCUCUCGGCUGGAGAGAUCAGAUCACUUCUCAGAGUCCUUAUCACCUUAACUCGAUCAAGCCCAAAACACUCCUCAUCUUCAGUGGUGGUGAACAUCCGCCGAAGCAUUAACAGCGUGUUAGAAGCCCGCACAAGUGCCCUAUGAUCUUCUACCACUAGCGAGCUUUCACUGUCUGGACCCGCUCCAACUGGGCGGCCAGUCAACUCCAGCAUCUGGCCUUCCAGCUGCCUACCUAGCACCAAACACCUUCCCACAGCCCUUGCUAAUCUCACAGUUGCCCAUGAUCUUUCGGCAGCACCUCGAACCUCCUCCGCACUUUCCCACCGCUCUAAAACAUCCUUCUCCAGCCUCCUAUAUCCCUCCCUUAAUGCAGAAACCUGCCCUUCUACCGCCUCCAAAACCCGCUGACCAGCGUCAGUCUGGCCGCGCGUAUGUGUAAGUAGUGGAAGCGCAGAUUUCGUAGCCAAUGUAUGGAUAUGGGUGUCGAUUUCUUGGAUAUCGAAGAGGACACGAGACAAUGGGGUCGAGAGAUCAAGCGGGGUAUCGGACGGGUUGUUUGUGCUUGUGACAAGGGUGUUGGCGAAAGCAGAAGGGGAGAAUGAGGGAUCAAGGAAAGCUUCGUAAUCGAUAUACGACGGCUCAGAAUCGGCCAUGUUUUACAUAUACGUCCCUACUUUUUUCCCUUCGUGUUUAAAGGCAAGAAAAUUAGGGACGUUUUCAUUUUUGGUCUAAUAGUUGGAGCGGGGUUGGGUUGGGUCCUUGGAAGCCCCGAAAUGGUCAAACCAAGCGCUAUUGCCUGGUUUUCUCGAAAUGAAAGCACAGCGGGGGGUAUAAAGGAACAUUUUUAUACCUUAAGUAUAAAUAAACAAAACGAUAUAUAUGAGAAAGGAAUUUCGCGGUCUCAGAGCUUUUAGAACUGCGCGCAUGCGAAUGAUUGGCAAUCGACGGGAGUCAUACUGAGCCACGCGAGAUAAGAGUACGGGAUAGAAGAGAGGUUCUCGAGAUAUAAAUGAAAGAUACAGGUGUCUUAGGAAUAGAACUCCGCAAGGAUAUUCAAUGACAAGAAUUGGGGAAACGAUUGCAGAUGA
rnacentral:sRNA from 1 species